AAGUAAUUAAUGCACUUUCUUUGAGUCAGGCCUUUGAAGAAGAGCUUGGACAUUUCUGAUUUAACUGAAUAUUUUAGACAGAUACAGACUUCUUCCAGCAGGGUGCGCCAUCUGGACGUCAAGGAGCUCACAGUGGCUGUUCCACAGAGGCAGCCCACCAGACCGUUGAUCAUCUGGGUGGCACAGAGGAUCAGCUGCAGACAGCUGGUGGCCAGCAGGGUGGCGAAGAGCCCAAUGUGGAACUGAACCAUGUUCUUGGGCUCGGUGCAGGUUCCCCACCAGGUGUCAUCGGUGAGAUACUUUUGAUCGCUGAAGGGUGUGGACCAGAUCAGCAGAACUUUGCACAGAGGCCCGUUCUGAAGAGCAACCACCGCCACGAUGAAGCUGUACAGAGCGCCGGCCACGCCCACCGCGGCGAAGACGAUGGAUAACAACAUCUGAGGAGAGGCCAAAGGUCACGAUCAGGCCUGCCCAAGUACAUCUGGUUUUACUGCACAAAUACUUCAUACUGUUGGAGCUGGAACGUCUGGUUUUUUGGGCCUGCCCAAGUACAUCUGGUUUUACUGCACAAAUACUUCAUACUGUUGGAGCUGGAACGUCUGGUUUUUUGGGCCUGCCCAAGUACAUCUGGUUUUACUGCACAAAUACUUCAUACUGUUGGAGCUGGAACGUCUGGUUUUUUGGAAACCGGACGGAGGUGAAGACAGUGGAGAUCAGUGUCAACAGGAAGGUGUGUCUCAGUGGCUGUAAAGUACGAGUCAAUAAAGA